AUUGAACGCUGGCGGCAUGCCUUACACAUGCAAGUCGAACGGUAACGGGCCUUCGGGUGCCGACGAGUGGCGAACGGGUGAGUAAUACAUCGGAACGUGCCCGAUCGUGGGGGAUAACGAGGCGAAAGCUUUGCUAAUACCGCAUACGAUCUACGGAUGAAAGCAGGGGACCGCAAGGCCUUGCGCGGACGGAGCGGCCGAUGGCAGAUUAGGUAGUUGGUGGGAUAAAAGCUUACCAAGCCGACGAUCUGUAGCUGGUCUGAGAGGAUGAUCAGCCACACUGGGACUGAGACACGGCCCAGACUCCUACGGGAGGCAGCGGUGGGGAAUUUUGGGCAAUGGGCGCAAGCCUGAUCCAGCCAUGCCGCGUGCAGGAUGAAGGCCUUCGGGUUGUAAACUGCUUUUGUACGGAACGAAAAGCCUUCUUUUAAUACAGGAGGGUCAUGACGGUACCGUAAGAAUAAGCACCGGCUAACUACGUG
rnacentral:rRNA from 1 species